GCUGGAUACAAAGGGAAAUUAAUUCUUCCUGACGUUGGCACUUGGCACCACGAUUCUUUUUCUCCCAGACCCGUUGAAUCCCAAGGAUGCGUUCGUCUUGGGUCUCAACUGUUUUCAUCGUGUCUGUUCUAAAAGAGACCUAUGGAGACUCAGUGAGUCAGACUGAAGGGAGCCGUAUCAUCUCCCAAGGGGACCCAGUGCUUCUGAAUUGCAGCUACGAGUUUUCUUUCAAUGCUUUCCCCUUCUGGUACGUGCAGUACCCCAGUGGGCCCCCCCGGCUCCUCCUGCGGGACACGGGAGGGGAAGACUGGGAUAUGGGGAUAGAGAAAGGGUUCAACGCUACACACGAUGGACAGAAAAAAACCUUCCACCUGUGGAAACCGUCCAGCGAACUGAGCGACUCCGGGAUCUAUUACUGCGCCGCGAGCAACACAGUGACUCGGACCAGCAGGGGAGCUGCGCAAAAACCGCGCAGCGUCUGUGCGGAGCAGCGGGGAUCCUCGGGCACUGGGGUCUCAGCGUGACGCGGGGGCAGAAGG